rnacentral:rRNA from 1 species
AGGCCCCGCUCGCGGGGUACUCGAGUGGCGAACGGGUGAGUAACACGUGGGUGAUCUGCCCUGCACUUCGGGAUAAGCCUGGGAAACUGGGUCUAAUACCGGAUAUGACCUCCCUUUAGUGUGGGGGGUGGAAAGAUUUAUCGGUGCAGGAUGAGCCCGCGGCCUAUCAGCUUGUUGGUGGGGUAAUGGCCUACCAAGGCGUCGACGGGUAGCCGGCCUGAGAGGGUGGACGGCCACAUUGGGACUGAGAUACGGCCCAGACUCCUACGGGAGGCAGCAGUGGGGAAUAUUGCACAAUGGGCGGAAGCCUGAUGCAGCGACGCCGCGUGGGGGAUGACGGCCUUCGGGUUGUAAACCUCUUUCGACAGGGACGAAGUGAAAAUGACGGUACCUGUAUAAGAAGCACCGGCUAACUACGUGCCAGCAGCCGCGGUAAUACGUAGGGUGCGAGCGUUGUCCGGAAUUACUGGGCGUAAAGAGCUCGUAGGUGGUUUGUCACGUCGUCUGUGAAAUUCCGGGGCUUAACCUCGGGCGUGCAGGCGAUACGGGCAAUACUUGAGUGCUGUAGGGGAGACUGGAAUUCCUGGUGUAGCGGUGAAAUGCGCAGAUAUCAGGAGGAACACCAAUGGCGAAGGCAGGUCUCUGGGCAGUUACUGACGCUGAGGAGCGAAAGCAUGGGUAGCGAACAGGAUUAGAUACCCUGGUAGUCCAUGCCGUAAACGGUGGGCGCUAGGUGUAGGGGACUUCCACGUUCUCUGUGCCGUAGCUAACGCAUUAAGCGCCCCGCCUGGGGAGUACGGCCGCAAGGCUAAAACUCAAAGGAAUUGACGGGGGCCCGC